GGUAUGCUUAACACAUGCAAGUCGAACGGUAGCAGGCCUUCGGGCGCUGACGAGUGGCGGACGGGUGAGUAACGCGUAGGAAUCUGCCUCAUAGUGGGGGACAACGUGUGGAAACGCACGCUAAUACCGCAUACGCCCUACGGGGGAAAGCGGGGGAUCGUAAGACCUCGCGCUAUGAGAUGAGCCUGCGUUGGAUUAGCUAGUUGGUAGGGUAAAGGCCUACCAAGGCGACGAUCCAUAGCUGGUCUGAGAGGACGAUCAGCCACACUGGGACUGAGACACGGCCCAGACUCCUACGGGAGGCAGCAGUGGGGAAUAUUGGACAAUGGGCGCAAGCCUGAUCCAGCAAUACCGCGUGUGUGAAGAAGGCCUUAGGGUUGUAAAGCACUUUCAAUGGGGAGGAAAACCUGCCGGUCAAUACCCGGUAGCUUGACAUUACCUUUAGAAGAAGCACCGGCUAACUCCGUGCCAGCAGCCGCGGUAAUACGGAGGGUGCGAGCGUUAAUCGGAAUUACUGGGCGUAAAGCGUGCGUAGGCGGUUCGUUAAGUCAGAUGUGAAAGCCCUGGGCUCAACCUGGGAACUGCAUUUGAAACUGGCGGACUAGAGUUUAGUAGAGGGGAGUGGAAUUUCAGGUGUAGCGGUGAAAUGCGUAGAUAUCUGAAGGAACACCAGUGGCGAAGGCGACUCCCUGGACUAGAACUGACGCUGAGGUACGAAAGCGUGGGUAGCAAACAGGAUUAGAUACCCUGGUAGUCC
rnacentral:rRNA from 1 species